ensembl:miRNA
AUUGUGUUGGUCAAAAGCUCAUUGGGGUUUUUCCGUCACAUACAGGAAACCCGAACGAACUUUUGGGCCAACCCAA